rnacentral:rRNA from 1 species
CCUACGGGAGGCAGCAGUGGGGAAUAUUGGACAAUGGGCGAAAGCCUGAUCCAGCCAUGCCGCGUGUGUGAAGAAGGCCUUCGGGUUGUAAAGCACUUUCAGUGGGGAAGAAAGCCUUGGGGCUAAUACCCUCGAGGAAGGACAUCACCCACAGAAGAAGCACCGGCUAACUCCGUGCCAGCAGCCGCGGUAAUACGGAGGGUGCGAGCGUUAAUCGGAAUUACUGGGCGUAAAGCGCGCGUAGGCGGUCUGAUAAGCCGGUUGUGAAAGCCCCGGGCUCAACCUGGGAACGGCAUCCGGAACUGUCAGGCUAGAGUGCAGGAGAGGAAGGUAGAAUUCCCGGUGUAGCGGUGAAAUGCGUAGAGAUCGGGAGGAAUACCAGUGGCAAAGGCGGCCUUCUGGACUGACACUGACGCUGAGGUGCGAAAGCGUGGGUAGCAAACAGGAUUAGAUACCCGAGUAGUC